GCGCGCGCAGGCGGUUCCUUAAGUCUGAUGUGAAAGCCCCCGGCUCAACCGGGGAGGGUCAUUGGAAACUGGGGAACUUGAGUGCAGAAGAGAAGAGUGGAAUUCCACGUGUAGCGGUGAAAUGCGUAGUGAUGUGGAGGAACACCAGUGGCGAAGGCGACUCUUUGGUCUGUAACUGACGCUGAGGCGCGAAAGCGUGGGGAGCAAACAGGAUUAGGUACCCUGGUAGUCCACGCCGUAAACGAUGAGUGCUAAGUGUUAGAGGGUUUCCGCCCUUUAGCGCUGCAGCAAACGCAUUAAGCACUCCGCCUGGGGAGUACGGCCGCAAGGCUGAAACUCAAAGGAAUUGACGGGGGCCCGCACAAGCGGUGGAGCAUGUGGUUUAAUUCGAAGCAACGCGAAGAACCUUACCAGGUCUUGACAUCUCCUGACAACCCUAGAGAUAGGGCGUUCCCCUUCGGGGGACAGGAUGACAGGUGGUGCAUGGUUGUCGUCAGCUCGUGUCGUGAGAUGUUGGGUUAAGUCCCGCAACGAGCGCAACCCUUGAUCUUAGUUGCCAGCAUUCAGUUGGGCACUCUAAGGUGACUGCCGGUGACAAACCGGAGGAAGGUGGGGAUGACGUCAAAUCAUCAUGCCCCUUAUGACCUGGGCUACACACGUGCUACAAUGGAUGGUACAAAGGGCUGCGAGACCGCGAGGUUAAGCGAAUCCCAUAAAACCAUUCUCAGUUCGGAUUGCAGGCUGCAACUCGCCUGCAUGAAGCCGGAAUCGCUAGUAAUCGCGGAU
rnacentral:rRNA from 1 species